rnacentral:rRNA from 1 species
GACGAACGCUGGCGGCGUGCCUAAUACAUGCAAGUCGAGCGGACUUUUGGGAGCUUGCUCCCAAAAGUUAGCGGCGGACGGGGGAGUAACACGUGGGCCACCUGCCUGUAAGAGUGGGAUAACAUCGGGAAACCUGAGCUAAUACCGGAUAACUCUUAUCAACACAUGUUGAUAAGCUAAAAGACGGUUUCGGCUGUCACUUACAGAUGGGCCCGCGGCGCAUUAGCUAGUUGGUGAGGUAACGGCUCACCAAGGCAACGAUGCGUAGUCGACCUGGGAGGGUGAUCGGCCACACUGGGACUGAGACACGGCCGAGACUCCUACGGGAGGCAGCAGUAGGGAAUCUUCCGCAAUGGACGAAAGUCUGACGGAGCAACGCCGCGUGAGUGAUGAAGGUUUUCGGAUCGUAAAACUCUGUUGUUAGGGAAGAACAAGUACGAGAGUAACUGCUCGUACCUUGACGGUACCUAACCAGAAAGCCACGGCUAACUACGUGCCAGCCGCCGCAGUAACAC